rnacentral:rRNA from 1 species
AGAGUUUGAUCAUGGCUCAGGACGAACGCUGGCGGCGUGGAUUAGGCAUGCAAGUCGGACGGUAGGGCUUUAUCGUAAGAUAGAGUUUGAGAGUGGCGAACGGGUGAGUAACAGGUAGGAAUCUACCCUUAAGACGGGGACAACCCAGGGAAACUUGGGCUAAUACCGGAUGAGAGUGCGAGAGAUUGCAUUUAAAAGGAUGGCGAAAGUUGUCGCUUAGGGAUGAGCCUGCGGUCUAUUAGUUAGUUGGUGAGGUAAGAGCUCACCAAGGCGAUGAUAGAUAGGCGGCCUUAACGGGUGGUCGCCCACACUGGGAUUGAGAUACGGCCCAGACUCCUACGGGAGGCAGCAGUCGAGAAUAGUCUACAAUGGCCGGAAGGCUGAUAGUGCGACGCCGCGUGAACGAGGGAGCCCUUCGGGGUGUAAAGUUCUUUUCUAUACGAGCAGUGCUAUAUAUAUGGAUAGUAUAUAUAGAGGGAUAGUAGUAUAGGAAUAAGCAACGGCUAACUCCGUGCCAGCAGCCGCGGUAACACGGGGGUUGCGAGCGUUGUCCGGAAUUACUAGGCGUAAAGGGCAGGUAGGCGGAUCUACGAGUUUUUUGUUAAAGGCUACGGCUCAACUGUAGUAGAGCAGGAGAUACUGUAGGUCUGGAAUGCGGUAGGGGAAGACAGAAUUCCUGGUGUAGCGGUGGAAUGCGCAGAGAUCAGGAGGAAUACCGAAGGCGAAGGCAGUCUUCUAGGCCGUAAUUGACGCUUAACUGCGAAGGUGUGGGGAUCAAACAGGAUUAGAUACCCUGGUAGUCCACACAGUAAACGAUAAUCACUAGAUGUCGGGUUCUAGAUGGAUUCGGUGUCGGAGCAAACGCGAUAAGUGAUUCGCCUGGGGAGUACGAUCGCAAGGUUGAAACUCAAAUGAAUUGACGG